rnacentral:tRNA from 1 species
GAGGGUGUAGCUCAGUGGUAGAGUGCAUGCCUAGCAUGCAUGAGGUCCUGGGUUCAAUCCCCAGUCCCUCCA